GCGCCCAGUGAUUAUAAAAAGACGCGUUAUUCUGAGGGUUUUUACCAGAUGUCAGCUUUUCUUCCUUUUCUCCUCUCUUUUUUUCUUCUUCUGUUCUCUGCUCUGAAGCUGACAACUGGUCCUUUGACUGCGAUUAUGAGAUAUGAGGGUGC